UACGUAGGUGGCAAGCGUUGUCCGGAUUUACUGGGCGUAAAGGGCGCGCAGGCGGUCCUUCAAGUCAGAUGUGAAAGCCCCGGGCUCAACCUGGGAACAGCAUUUGAUACUGGAAGGCUUGAGUAUGGGAGAGGGAUGUAGAAUUCCAGGUGUAGCGGUGAAAUGCGUAGAUAUCUGGAGGAAUACCGGUGGCGAAGGCGGCAUCCUGGACCAUUACUGACGCUGAGGCGCGAAAGCUAGGGGAGCAAACGGGG
rnacentral:rRNA from 1 species